rnacentral:lncRNA from 1 species
GCUGUGCUCAGCCGGGAGCAGAGCGGACAGCGCCAGCCUGAGCGGAGCACCGUGCGUCCCCACCCGCCGGGCCAGGUACCGCUGGGGGCGCCGACCCCCAGUCCAGGGCACCGGGCGGGCAGAGCUCUACUGUGCACCCUCCCGUCCGUAGCUGGGCUCUGGGCAGCGCCUGUUACCCGUCCCGUCCCGGGCAGACACCCCAGCCUCCCGCGAGCCAGAACCCCGCGCGCUCUGGGCUCAGUCCGGGGACUCGCCACUCAGGGGUCAGUUCUGAGCUUGAACUGGUAUCCUGGGAAAGGCAUUUCGCCGCCUCAGGGCCUGUCGGCAGGGCCAGGAGGGACAGCAGGAGGUCAGCAGCACUCGGGGCUGGGGCCACAGGACGCCUUGUUGGGGGCUCGGGCGGUGAGCGAUGGGCUUCCCGAGGCAGGGCCCACGGGGACUAGCUAGAGAGGGUCCCGGAGGGGGGCCUAAAAGGGCCCGGGAGCGGGCUCUGGAGCGCUGCCCCGACGGGCGCCUGACAGGCAAAUCUGCCCGGCUGGCACACCGGGAGUCUGGGUAUAUUUAUCCCGGCUGCGUUGGGCAGGGGCUUGAGGGCAGAUCGGGCCAGGCUGCCUGAGGGGCCGUGGGGCACAUGUUGGUCCCAGAGUCCGUGCCAUUUGCAGCCGGGCCAGCGGGCACGGCAGGAACAGGGCGCGUGUGGCUCCCUGGCCUGAGGGCGGGGCUCUGUGUGCUCUCCUUGCUGCCUCAUUCCCCGGUGGGGGUAUAAGAGCUGGCGCCGCGCACGCGGGCGGAGGGAAAGGACCAAAACCGGGUUUGCAGGAGCCCGCCCCCGUUCCAUUGGCCCCUUCGAUUGGCCACAGCGAAUGCGUGCGUUUGUUUACACCCGGGGAGGGGGAGGCCAGGGGCGGGGCCUGUGGGAAUCCGCCCUCUCCCCCCAGGGUGACCUGAGCGCUGAGCUCAGGUGUAAGCUCUAGGACAAGUCUGAAAGGGACUAAGUCAAAGGUCCUUGCACCUUGCACCCUGGGGGACUCCUGGACCCAGGCCCAUCCUUCCUUCAGUCGCCCAGUCCUGUCCUUUCUUCCAUGACUUCCUUGGGCCACUGUUCUGGAAGAGGCCUUUGGACCUUCCACCCCUUCCUCUUCAGUAAACAGUUGCAUGGGAGUUCAGUUCCUUCAAGAAAGGAAGAAAACUCUUCAGAGCUUUUCAGUCUGGAGCCUAGAAAGCUGAAGAGAUCUGGGGACAGUUCCAUUUUGAGAUGGGGAAGUUCUGCACAACCAUGGAAGUCUUCCUGCAGGAAGCACUAGAUGUAGGAGGAAUCAGGGUGGGUGAGGCCAGGCGUGGCACAUCUCCAAGAGGGCUGGAAUGACUGGAAUCAUUCCAUGAGAGUCUCUGACCCUUUGGGGUUGGGGACAGGGGACUGGUUCUCUGGGGAGGGGAGGGGUAUAUGUCUCAGAACCUCACUCUGCCUGAGCUCAUAGAGGCCAUGUCCUCACUGGCUUCUCAAACCACUCUUUCUUCAGUACUGGUUCUUUUGGCCCUCAUCACAACCUCACCACACACACCCAGUCCAGGGCUCAAGGUGGCCAGACCAUGAGAAUCAGUUGCUCCUGUCCUGGUGCCUGCUGCCCUAGCAAGUAGCCAUGGAACCUUGGGCAAAUAGAGAAAAUGAGGCACAACAGGUCUCUGGGUAGUGUCGGGGAAGGUUUUUGAGCUAAACUAAGUGUACCCUGAAAGUCCAGGCUGGGUGUGGAACAAACAGGCACUCAUUCUAAGGGGAAAGCAUGUUUUAGGGGAGUGGUUGGCUGCAAGGGAGGUACAGUUUGGUAUCUGUGUGCACAGAAAGCCUGUGUGGGAUGUGUAUACUAUGCUGUAGUAAGAUAGGAGCUCUGCAGGCACAUGAUCUAGUUCAGACAUGACCAGGGUCCAGGGGCCACUUGGAGCUGGGUUGAGAUGGGUUGGGGGCUUGCCAAGGGCCUUGAACCCAUUCUAUUCCUUUUACAACAUUUGCUGAGCACCUACUAUGUGCCCUGCAAACAUUCAGUCUGGUGAGUGGAGGGCUGGCCUUUGACUCUGGAUAAGAAGACAGAUGCGGUGGUGGGGUGGGGAGGACUCUAGAAGACCAGGCGGGGCUUCUGGGGGCCAAAGGGAAGGACCAGCUGCUGGGGCAGGAGGGGCUUUCCGGUCAGCGGCCUGGGGUGGCUUGGUUUUGAAUUUCCGCUCUGCGGGCCACGUCCUGUACACAGCCUCUCAGCCGGCACGUCUGCACACGUGCAUGACUGCUGAGAAUGGGGGUCACCAUCACCUCUGUGUAUCUUUUCCAUUGUGUGGGUAGACAGUGCUGGACUGGGGAGUGGUGAGCUUUCCAGCUGGGCCUGGACCUGCAGCCCUAGUGGGCUCAGACCCGCUGUCUGGAUGUCCCUGCACCUAGCUAAUGGAGGCAUAACCUGCUCUUGUAGGAACCUGCAGAUGCUGGGCAGCCUUCUUGUGGGGUCCUCCAGGGUUCUGCCUGGCCAUCCCUGAAGUGCCCACUGGGCCUGCAGCCCACUCGCCUGGGCCUCUGGCUCCCUCUUCCCUCUCACUCCUUCUGGGGUCCUCUCUGUCUUUCGUUGGCUGUCUCCCUGUCUCUCUGUCUCUUUUUCCAUUUAGCUAUCUCUGGCUGGUUGGCCAUCGCUGUCUCUCAGCUCUCUGGUUGUCUGUCUCUCUCUGUCUCCCUGUCUGAAUGUGUAUCCACCUUCUUCUGUGUGUAUUUUCCUGUUGGUGUACCUUUAUAUCCAUCUGCAUUUCUCUAUCUCCCUGUGCCUCUCUGUCUCUUUUUCUGUCCAGAUCAGUAUUCAUGCACUGCAUGUAUGUGUUUUCUGCCCUUCCUCUUUCCUUGCCCCUCUCUUCCCUCCCUCUGCCGCUCUGCUUCUGCCUGACAUUGAAUGGUGCCUCUCCUCCAGGCCAACCUUGCCUUUAGCCCCUCCCCCCUUCCACUGGGGUCUCCAAUGAGUCCUGAGCUGCCCCAGGCCCCUGCUCCAGCUUUCCUUGGGGCCAGAAGUCCGGCUGUCCAAAUAUUUGGCCGCCUCCAGGGGAUUCCGGGUCAGCAGGGAGGAGGAUGGGCUGGCUGGCUCGGGGUCUCCCCUGCCCCUGGGGGGCCACAGGCACGUGAUGUCCUGUCCUUUGCCUUGGCUGGGCCUCCAGCUGCACGUCCCUCUCAGCGGGCUGGCAAUGGGGGGAGGGGGCUGCUGCUGGCUCUGGCCCAGUCUUGACCAAGAGGUUCCAGCUGCAGCCUCCACUGGGGGAGCAAGGAGGGUCCUGGGCUGGGUGGGAGGGGAGGCCUAGGGGUCUGGGGCAAGGUCCAACUCCAGGCAUCUGUUGGGUGUCUAGCAAAUGUACCCUGUCACAGGAAAGUCCAACUUCCGGCCCCAGCUGGGCCCCUCAGAUCCUCCUAGACACUUCCGGAUGCCCAGAACACAGAAGCACAGACCCCACACACCAGGGCCAAGGAGCUAAACUAUGAGGGAUCGGUGUUGCCAACACAUCAAUGUUCUGGGCCAUCUUCCUUUCCUUGGAUGUGCCCUCUCCUCCAUACCACCCCCCUCAGUACCAGCCAGGUGUUGACCUUGCAGUGGCCAUUUGCCCAGUGUUGUUGAUGAUGAAGGAGCAGUGGAAGGGGUACUGGAUCUACCGAGGUCAAAAUCUGGAGUUGUGCGUCUGGAGGAAGAGCUAGGGGUGCACAGGGCUGUAGUAUUCUCCCCUGUUCAGAACACCCUUCCAUAUGCCCUAGCCCUAGCCCCCUGACCUCAGCAAUGAUCUCCUCACCAAUCCCUGGGGCUGUGCCUUGAGAACAUAUAAUUCAGACAUGUCCAUUGAAUCUAGUUUCCUUGUUGACUGACAGCUUGUCCUAAGAUGAUGUUCUCCUUCUGAAGCCUGGAGAAGAAGGUGGGCAGGGAGUGCCAAGAUAGGAGGGGCACCUUGUCUCAGCCAGGAGGGGACUAAGGAUGGCUGAGCUGGAACUGAGAGCAGCCUUCAUCCCUGAGCCUCCAGGGAUAACCACAACAGACCCUCAGGCCAGACCAGCUGCCUCUCCCCUGAGAUCUGGGCUGAGGCUAGGACUUCCCAGGCACCAGAAGCCUGGGGACCAUGGCAACAAGUUCUAUGGGGUCUGUGCCUCGAUCAGCACAGACGGCCAGGAAGGACUGAGGGAAGAACAGUGUGGAUGCCUCCCUGUAGCCAGCCUGACACUGCAGACCCAUUUAUGUCCCUGAGCAUUAGGGAGGAAAGCAGGGCUCAAGUCCCUGGUGGUUCCAAGGACCUCAAUCCUGGGACAGAGAGGUAUGUGUCCUACAGCAGCUGAUGCAAGCAGUGGGCCUGUGGUGGCCUGGAUUCCUGGGCCUCGAAAUCUUUAAUUAGCCAAACUCAACACCUGCCAAGGUGUGCCUGACAAGUUCUCACCCUGUGAUGCCCGCGUGGGCGAGCGUUACCUACUGCACUAUCCCUGUGGCUCCUGGCCUCUCCUAGCCCUUAUCUCCCAGCAGAGCAAACAGGGCCCAGGGCAGUGGCCCAGGCCAUCGAUUUCCUGCCCAAGUCCAUUCUGCACCCAUGACCGAUGCUAUUCUGAUGAUCUGCCCAAGGUCGCAGUGACAGCCCCACACUAGAACCUGACCCCUCUCUGGAAGCCCAUGGCAUGGUCUGGGACAAAGGCCUUGGAGAGGAUCCUCACUCUGUCCCCAGCUUUGCCAAACUUCUGGGGACCUCUGCAGGGCAGGAGGACACUGAGGUCCUGAGUGGGGAAUACUCUACCCGUGGUCACACAGUAAGGCAGGGCCAGGCCAGGACUCAGACUCCGAAUGUCCACUGUGGACUUUCUCAACAGUGGGUCAGAUUCUGCUGGCAGAUUUCCCUGAGUCCACCCUGACUCCCUGAUACAAAGGAGCCUGGGAGGUGGUAGGCCUGAGGGAUGGGAACUGUCAGAAAUGGGCUGCCAGCCUCAGGGAAUGGCUGAGAGUCCACAUGCCAGGCUAGCACUCCACUCUGGCUGCUUAGCCCUUAGCCCUGCCCUACACUGAAGUACAGACUCAUUGACCUGGCCUUCAAGGCUUUGUCAGGUUUGUCUAUAGCCAUGGAACCUUCAUUCUGCCUCAUACCACACCUUAGAGCCUUUGCCCAUGCUGUGCCCUCUGCUUAAGGCAUUCUUUGCUAUUCCACACUUUUGGGACUCCUGGAAUUUCAGAAAUGGCUCCAUCACCUCCUCUGCCAGGAAGCCUUCCUUGAUGCCUCUCUCCCCCCUUUUUUGAGUCCCAGCACUAUGUGGCUCAUAUUUAGUUGUUGCAGGAACUAUAAGGUGGGGGCUAUGUUUGGGGAUUUUGUCCCUUCCAGACCAGAAGCCAUUUAGGGAAGGAUAUUCCAUGUCCUCUCUGGGACCUCAAACCAGCCCAAGAUCCAGCAGUGACUGGUUUUGAGUAUCAGACAGGCUGUGAAGGUCUAGGUGUAGGUCCUGCUGGGGGGAUGGGGAACCUGGAUACAGGAACUCGGGCACUUUGGCCAUGACCAUGCCGUGGGCUGUGGUCUCCCUGGAGGUAGUGCUGGCUGCUAGGGAAGGAUAUUAAGGCAGAGAAGGGUGCUUUGUCCAAGCUGCCAACUCAGCACACUCUGAGGGCCUGUCCCAGCCUGCCCAGGGUGGGAGGCCCGAAAAGGACAACCCUAGCUGAGAGCCAGGGGGCACUCUGGAGUGACUCUGGAGAUGAGGUGCUGGCAUCUCCACAUCCAGCUGGGAUCCUUGGAGAGGUGCUGAUAGUGAGGCUUAGGGCAGAGACUCAUCCAGGGGAAGAGGGCACGAGAGAUGUUCACAUUGUCAUGGACCUGAAUGGACAGGGCUGGAGGUGAGAUGGGUUCAGAUGCCAGCAUCAGAAGAAAGAGAGGCAGGCCGAGGGGGCCCGAGGGUUCCAAGUGUGGAGUCUCCAGGACCGAGGUUCCUGGGAUCUGAACUCUGGCCUGGGGCUGCCUGGGGCAAUGGUGGGCUGGUCCUUUAGUCAGUUCUGUGUGGCUGCUGCCUCCAGGACACUGGGGCCUGAGGCCUGAACCCAGCCUUCUGUCCCCACACAUAGCCCCAAGUGCUAAGAACACUGGUGUUCUGGGUUCUAAGUAGACCUGAGACCAUCAGGAUCCGGAGUGGGGAUGGGGGGUUCAGGGCGGGAUUCAGGAUUCCCAAGCAGAGAGCUUGUCAUGGCACCAAGCCUAGGCUCCGAUAGGGACACCUGGCUGGCUCAGUCAGUAGAGCAGGUCACUCUUGAUCUCAGAGUUGUAUGUUUGAGCCCCAUGUUGAGUGUAGUGAUUACUUAAAAUUAAAAUCUUUUUUUUUAAAUUAAAAUCUUAAAAAAACAAAACAAAAAACAGGCUAGGCUGUGGCUGACCUGCAUGGCAGUGCUGCCCCCUCCCUGGUCUCGACUAGAGUCUUAGCUCUCCUUCUGGCCUCUCUGGCCUUCAGGAUGUCCUUAUAGAUCCUGGGGCACUGUGCCAGGUACCUUCUGGGCAUGGGGUAGGUGGCUUCCAGCCCCAGUGAUUGGGGGGGGGGAGCUGGCUCCUUAGAGGCCCAGCAGAGCCAUGCCCUGAGGGCAGGAAAGGGAGGACUGAUCCAGUGGCCUAGACUCCUCUACAGCUGCCUAAGACCCUGAGUUCCUGGCCUGGGGUUCUAGGAAAUGGAGAAUCUGCUCCAAUGGUCCACUACUGGAGGGUGGUCACCUAAGGGGUAGGGGUAUUCCCCCUAGCCCCUAGCAGGGGAAGAGAAGCUUGAAGGAGAACAUGGCCCUGAGGUCAUGGCUGUGUGGAGAGUGAGGCCUGUGUGGCUCAGAGAAUUCGGCCCUGGGACGCUCGUUUCCUGGAUGGCCCCCUGAGGGCCCUUUGCAGCCAGGCGGGCAGGGCCCAGGUGUCCAGCCACCCAGCACCGCCUCAGGCCUCCUGGCUCCGGGGGGGUAGCCUUUGCGCCUGCCGUUCCCAGCGCCAGCUCUCAGACCACAGAAGGCCCUUUGUUCUGGCUGCCAGCAGUGCCCGCCGGGCGGCUGGGAACAGGGCCCACAGCCCUCACCCUCUCCCAAGGCCUCCAGCCGUCGGGCAGUGCCAUUCUAGGUUGGCUAGGAGGCCCCUGGCACACAGGGCCGGCACAGGAAACCGUCUCCCGGUGUUAAUGUCAGGGAGGGGGUGUCAAUCCAGGGCCCACCACCAGCGCGGGGUCUGGAUUCCUGGGACUCAGCAUCCUGGGGUCCAGGCACCACUGGACUCUGAACUCAGGUCAUCCAGCUGAUCCUCACUUCGCAGAUGGAGAAACUGAGGUCCCAAGGGCUUGCCUGGACUGGUAUGUGAGUGGUGGGGGGAGUGCUACGUACUGGCCAAGGUGUCCCAUCAGGAUGUCUUGGAGAACUCAGGUAUCUGAGCUCUACUCCCCCAAAAGCAGGUCCCGGGGAGGCAGCAGGCACAGCUGCAUGUGCACAUAAAUCCUGAGUGAGCUUCUGGGAGGUGUGAUAGGCUGUAGACUCCCCAUGGGAGGCUGGGCCAUGGGUCCUGGGAGAAGGGAUAACCAGAGGGACCAUUGCUCUGCAGACCUUUGACUUGUGUUGGUGUGAGAGUCAGUGCUCCGGGUGGCAGACCCUGACCAUGGAGGCACCUCUGCAGACGGAAAUGGUGGAGCUGGUGCCCAACGGCAAACACUCAGAGGGGCUGCUCCCAGUCACCACCCCCACGGCUGUCAACCAGAGGUGAGCAGAGGGACCCAGUCGUGGUCAGGGCAGGGCAGGGUGCAGAGCAAGGGCCGGAGCUGAGCUGACUGCUCUGGCCUGUGCCUACAGGGUCGAAGGCCCCAGACGGAGCUGUGUUGAGGGCGAGGGCUUCCUACAGAAAAACCCCAGCAAGGAGCCACACUUCACAGACGUGAGCUGGAGGGCACAGUGGGGUGGGGGGCUUGGGAGAUUUCACGCAGUAACAAAGAGCUCUGGGGCAGCAACGGGAGGUUAAGGGACAGUGAGGGGGAAUGUUGGGAUACCCUCCAUGCGUCGCUGUCUCUCCCCCCUGCCCCCAUCUCACUCUGGUGCCUGCAGUUUGUGGGGAAGACUUCAUUUGGGAUGUCAGUGUUCAACCUCAGCAACGCCAUCAUGGGCAGUGGCAUCCUGGGACUCGCCUAUGCCAUGGCCAACACAGGCAUCGUCCUUUUCCUGUGAGUGCCUUCAGUGAACCCUCUAAAGACAGGAGCUCUAAACAGUCCACCAACCAUGACCUCCCAGGACCCAGGCUGUGGGUGGGCUCAACCCAAACCAUGGCUAAAAAAACCAGCCAUGGCCAGACAAAUAUCCCUCAUUUCCUGGUAAACCCACUGAGAUUAUGACACAGGCAAGCCUAACAGACCUGAAUCUAUACUUCUACCACCGUUUACACAUGAUGAACGAAGCCCCAUGGCCAGGCCUUGUGUGGACACACGUGUCCUUACUUGGGACCUCUGCCCUGCAGUCUAAAUGGAAAGCAUGUUUGUUCCAAGAACUCAAGGAGGUAGUGCUCAGAGGACCCCUUCUAGGUCAUGGCUUACCCUGGGUCAAACUGAGCGGUGUUCGCCCCUGCCGGGGCCAGUUGAGCUUGCAUCCACACCUGUUGGGGGCUCCAAACACCUGGGUCACAGACCCACACACCCAGGCCUCCCAGAGCUCACCACCCCUGCCAGCCAGUGAAGCCCUCAGUGGCUCCUUUUCACCCAUCUUCCCCAGGUUCCUGUUGACAGCCGUCGCCCUGCUCUCCAGCUACUCCAUCCACCUGCUACUCAAGUCCUCAGGGAUCGUGGGUGAGCCCCCAACCCAGCCUGGAGCAGGGGAGGGCUGGGCUGGGGAGAGCACUCCUGACUAUUUUGACUCCUGUCCCCACAGGUAUCCGUGCCUAUGAGCAGCUAGGCUACCGUGCCUUUGGGACCCCAGGAAAGCUGGCAGCGGCCCUGGCCAUCACACUGCAGAAUAUUGGAGGUGAGCCUGGCAGGCAGACCCAGACAGGUGGUGGGCAGGUGGGCGGGCUGAAGACUGGCUGGUUUGGCUGACCCCAGCACCUGCCCGCCUCUCUCCCCCCAGCCAUGUCCAGCUACCUGUACAUCAUCAAGUCCGAGCUGCCCCUUGUCAUACAGACCUUCCUGAACCUGGAGGAGCAAACUUCGUGAGCCCCAGGGUGGGGCGGGGCUGGGUGAGGGUAGGAGGGAGGCCUUGGUCUACCCCUCCAUAUGCACCACUGGCCCUGGGAACCCAGGCUGGGCUAGUGGGAGAGAUGAGACAGUGCCUGCAAGUGACUGGUGGAGGGGCAGAGAGCUGCCAACAGAGCUAACAUUCAGUCUACACUCCUUUAGCACCUAGGGGAACCCCCUAGGAGGGCCAGAUGAGGUGAGAGGUGGGGUGAGGCUGAGGAACCUGGGCCCCACCUGGGCCAGGACACAGCCUAUGAGAAAAGGAGAACCUGAGAGCUUCGGGCUUAGCUCUAAGCACCUGCUAUUCCUGACCAGGGCUUGGGCUUUAGCGCCUGCCACCCCCUCCCCCCUCCCCGCCUUCCCCCCCCUCUCCCCCCCCCUCCCCCCCCCCCCCCCCCCGCCCAACCAAGAAAUUAAGCCCGUGGUGUCCCAGUUGCUCUCAUCAGUUUAGCCAGCACUGAUGGAAUCAACCAUGUUUUGUGGGUGGGGACAGAGAAGACAGCCAUGCCCUGCCCUUGGCCACGCAGCCCAGGCAAGCAGAGGGGGUUUGAAGUUGAGAGCAGCUCUGGGAGGAGGAAAACAGCCAGGAUUCUUCCCCCUGAGUCCUGGGUGCCCUUCCCAAGGAGUUGGCCUUUGGGCUUCCCUGGGAAGGAGGGUCUCCUUCCUUAUCCUUUGAGUUCUCUGCGCCAUUGGUGGUGGGGGGUGCAGGAUGGUGCAGGAUGCAGAUGCCAGGAGGGACCACAAGGGGUACAGGAUGUUGGAAAGUCCCUGACACCCCCAUGGAAAAUGCUCCACCUCCCCAGAGCCAGGGUCUUUCAUCCCACCCACCUCCCUGGGCCCCUUGGGGCCACCCCCUGGGGAAGCUGGACCCAGACCUGUGUGUCUUGAGAAAAACAGCAGCAGUGACUAUAGCCCUAAUGGCUACCAAGCAGGAGCUGAGCUCCUUAGUUCUCCCCUCGCCUAGGCCAGUGCUGAGAGAAUGUCCAUUUUGCAGACUCCGAGCUAUGAACAAGUAUUUUUUAGGUGGCCCCGAUUAGGUAUGGAGGCAGGCGGCCUCACCCAAGGCUGAGUGGACUCUGAUGUUGGCUCCCCACUCCUAUUCCUGCAGGGACUGGUACAUGAAUGGGAACUACCUGGUGAUCCUUGUUUCUGUCAUCGUCAUUCUGCCCCUGGCACUGAUGCGGCAGCUUGGUGAGUGUGGCAGGGCUAGGGCCUUGGAGGGGAAUGUUGGAGAAAUGCCUGGGAAGGGACCCCAGUCUCACAGCCCUUCCCCCACGUUGCAGGCUACCUGGGUUACUCCAGCGGCUUCUCUCUCAGCUGCAUGGUGUUCUUCCUAAUUGCAGUGAGUCACUUUCUGUGCUGGUGGAGUGAGGGGACAAGUCUCUUGGGGGGCUCCUCUGUCGGGGCAGGGGGCAGGUCUUUCUGGGAAGCCUGGGUCAGAAGGCAGCUCCUUCUGUCCUGAUCUAGAUGUGUUUUCAUAGUGACUCCCAGGCAAGCCUUGUCUGGCCCUGAUACCCCCAUCUUCCCUGCAACUCAGGUCAUCUACAAAAAGUUCCAUGUGCCCUGCCCUCUGCCCCUCAACCUCGCCAACAUCACGGGCAACGUCAGCCUCAUGGAGGUCACCAAGGAGGAGGCUCAGCUGCAGGCUGAAACAGAGGCCGCAGCCUUCUGCACCCCGAGUUACUUCACACUCAACUCACAGGUUCCAACAGGCCGGGGCAGGGGCUAUGGGCCGGGUGAGAGUGAAGGGCUGCCCUGACGCAGUCACCAUGUCUAUCUAGACAGCAUAUACCAUCCCCAUCAUGGCCUUCGCCUUCGUCUGCCAUCCCGAGGUGCUGCCCAUCUAUACGGAGCUCAAGG